rnacentral:piRNA from 1 species
UAUCGUUUUUAUGAGAAGCGA